rnacentral:sRNA from 1 species
AAACCCAGGCAGCCUAGAGUGCAGCUCAUACUCCAUACCCAGAAUUCCUGCCUCGCCACUGUCCUGCUGCCCUCCAGACAUGCUGGGGCCCUGCAUGCUGCUGCUGCUGCUGCUGGGCCUGAGGCUACAGCUCUCCCUGGGCAUCAUCCCAGUUGAGGAGGAGAACCCGGACUUCUGGAACCGCCAGGCAGCCGAGGCCCUGGGUGCCGCCAAGAAGCUGCAGCCUGCACAGACAGCCGCCAAGAACCUCAUCAUCUUCCUGGGUGACGGGAUGGGGGUGUCUACGGUGACAGCUGCCAGGAUCCUAAAAGGGCAGAAGAAGGACAGACUGGGGCCUGAGAUCCCCCUGGCCAUGGACCGCUUCCCAUACGUGGCUCUGUCCAAGACAUACAAUGUAGACAAACAUGUGCCAGACAGUGGAGCCACAGCCACAGCCUACCUGUGCGGGGUCAAGGGUAACUUCCAGACCAUCGGCUUGAGUGCAGCCGCCCGCUUUAACCAGUGCAACACGACACGCGGCAACGAGGUCAUCUCCGUGAUGAAUCGGGCCAAGAAAGCAGGUGAGCUGUGGCCUGCUGCUGGGUCACGGCCAGGUCACAGACCUUGGUCACAUAUACUGACCUCUGACACCCUUAGGGAAGUCAGUGGGAGUGGUAA